rfam:Paenibacillus sp. 11 genome assembly, contig: Ga0139009_109
CACAUGCUGUAACCGCACGGAACAGGUAUGAAGCAUGGCUGCUUGUACAGCCAUCACCUGAAUAAGGCGAGUCUGAGACAUGAG